ensembl:lncRNA
UUUUUUUUUUUUUUUUUUUGGUGGGGGGCCUACUUGCAGCAUGUAGAAGUUCCUGGGCCAGGAAUUGAACUCAUGACACAGCAAUGACCCGAGCCACAGCAGUGACAAAGCCAGAUCCUUAACCCACAAGCCACCAGGGAACUCCUCAACAAAGCUUUUUAUCUCACCUCACAGAGUGAAUUAGUCAAAUGAUGUAGGUUAAGCUAUGUCAAUAAUGAUGCAGAUUCAAAAUAUAUAUAUAUAUUGAGGAGUCUGGAGAAAAUUCUAUUACAGUUAAAGUAAGGAAGAAAAAAUCAUCUCAUUAACUUCAUGAAAUGACCCAUCAGGAAAAGGAGAGUAUGGAAUGAUAUUAUCCCAAUUGUACAGAUGGUUAAACUUGGUUUCAGAGAACUGCCCAAGGACCAAAAGACCUGGAUUUGAACCUGGGUGUUCCUGACUCUGAAAUUCACACUACCAGAUCAUUCUGCCUCCAGCGUUAUUGGUAAUAGAAAAGGGCAUUAUCAGCAACAGAGGAGGCACUUGGCAAUGAGAAAGCACCAUGAGCAAUGAUGAAUUAACAUUUAGUUGAUUAUUCUUCUAGGGAGAUAAAUAUUUGUUAUUCAAGCAAGACAACAUAUCCCUAUUAAAAUGGCCAAUGUGUAAACACACCCUUGACAGAAGUGCUGCAGAUGUCAGGAUGGUUGAAAUUGAAAUGUAUUCAAUGAAAUUCACAUAUAGGAUCAUUUAUGAACAGUCACUAACUAAGAAAGACAAGAUGAUUCAGGGGUCCAACUUAUGACUUGAUUUAAUGAUCCAGAGGCCUAUCCUGUCUCCUCCACUGCAUUCUAGAUUUCUUAAGAUGAAGGACUGUGACACUGGGAGGUGGGAUUCCAACCGACAGCGUUGCUAAUGCACCAUGUUGGUCUUCCUUGUUUCAGUGCAGUGAAGGUAAUCCCACAGGUUUCAGGGACCAAGCAGACAAUGAAAUGAGCAAUGGAGGAAGGAUGUAAAAUAACACAGAGAAUGGAGAACUGUGGAAAACCCCUGGAACAAUGCCCCAUCUAGAGAGAGCAGCAGAUAUUCAGUUUGGGCAAGUGUGGCUACAAUGAACCUUGACCCAGUGAUAGCAGAAUUUCCAGCUUUUAAAGAGAAGCUAGACAUCUAUAUUUUACAGAAAGUGAUCUGAUGUUUAAAGUUUGGCAAUUAUUUAUUCCAUUUUUAGGAUCCUGGUGUGGUCCAGAUGCUGAUACCUCUGCUCUAGAUGUCAGUUCCUAUGUAUGAAUAGCUCUGACUUAUGUUUGUAGGCUGUGCUCAGGGAGCCCCUCUACUGAAGGGAUGCUGACGGCUCAGCUGAAGCCAUGGGGAAGCACUGAUUCUGAGAAUCUAUAUGGCAGGACUGAGAGGCAGGCUUUCAUGCAGAGUGGGCCUGGGAGUCCUGUGUGCUCAGGCCAGUUACAGCUUGGUCAUCUGCCCAUUCUAGACACCACUCAGAACUACAGAUGUUUCAGCUGAAAGGGCCUUAUUAUCCUUUCCUCAAUAAUGAAGAAGGUGGAGACUCCUGGCCCUUGCCCAGCAUCCUCCACACACACACCUCAGUGCCCACUGACCUUCUCACCAAUAGACGAUGUAUUAAAUCACCAAAUCAGAAACUCAAAAGCCCCUAGACUGCAUACAUUAAUUUUUUUCUUAUCAUCUAUUAGAUGGGUAACAAGCUUGUAACAUCUGGUGGUUCAUAGCCAACUUUUGAUGACUGUGGUCUCUUGGUGUUACUACUCAUGGUAGUCUCUCUCUCUUUUUUUUUUUUUUUUUUUUUGUCUUUUUGCCUUUUCUUGAGCUGCUCCCGCGGCAUAUGGAGGUUCCCAGGCUAGGGGUCGAAUCGGAGCUGUAGCCACCGGCUUACGCCAGAGCCACAGCAACACGGGAUAUGAGCCGCUUCUGUGACCCACACCACAGCUCACGGCAAUGCUGGAUCCUUAACCCCCUGAGCAAGGCCAGGGAACGAACCCGAAACCUCAUGGUUCCUAGUCAGAUUCAUUAACUACUGAGCCACGACGGGAACUCCGGUAGUCUCUUUUAUAUAAGCAUCUGUUUUGUUGUUGUUGUUUUGUUUUUGUCUUUUUUAGGGCCACACCUGGGGCAUAUGGAGGUUCCCAGGCUAGGGGUCGAAUCAGAGCUGUAGCCGCUCUGGCCUACCACACAGCCAUAGCAACGCCAGAUCUGAGCCACAUCUGUGACCUACACCACAGCUCGUUGCAAUGCUAGAUCCCUAACCAACUGAGCAAGGCCGUGGAUUGAACCUGGAUCCUUAUGGAUGCUAGUCAGAUUCAUUUCUGCUGAGCCACGAUGG